UAAAAAAGAAUUGCUAAUUGCAGAGUGAACUUACUGGGCCAAGGCAUCAGAGCAGGUCAUUUUGUUAGCAGAUGGAAGGCAAGCGACUCAGCCAUUGAACCCCCACCCCCGCUUUGAGUACCCAGACGCCUGGACCUAGGACAUCAUCCUCAGGUGAGGCCAAAUCCAGCUUCUCCAUAAAACCAGGAAGAAGAGCAAGCAGGACUGCCAGGGUGGAACCCGAGGAAGGAAAAUCCUUCACAGUAAAGGAAAUUGAGGCUUUGUGGAGUUAAGUGACUUGCCCGCAAAAGCUAGAUCUGUUUACUGGUAUGGCGACCCCUGGAUGGGAAUCUACCUGUGGUCCACCAUCAGCAGACCACAGAUGGCAUUGUUUGCAAUGAAGAGAAAUGUAGAUAAGAGGAAAGAUGCAGUGACUUACUUGGAUUUUCUAUAUAAAUCAUCACAGCACCUGAAAGCACAGGAUUCUUCGGUGUUGAGAUGGAACUUUGGAUCUGCAGCAACUCAACCCUAAACAUCUUGCUACCAGCUUGAGGGCAAGGCCAGGACCAAAGAUAGUAGACCAGAAAGAUGGAGAACACUCAUAUCUCUGAUGUCAUUUGCUGGAUGAAUUGUAACUAAAACCUAUUUUAUUUUGGCUUGAGUUAGGAUUCCUAUCACUUGCAGCCAAAUGCACCAUAAUUUAGUAUGGCUCUCUGAGGACAAGACAACCUGGAACUCAAAGCACCUGAAUAGAAAAACCUUAGCUCAAUCAAUGAGGCAUAGUGUACUUUAGUUGAGUUUUCAAUGAAUGUUUUAUUGGCAGGAACUAGAAAAUAGUCAGGAUUCUACAUUGUAUAAAUUAUAACCAUUGCUUAUAAUCAGGCUUAGCCAAUUGAUUUCAAGGAGAUACUAUCCUCUUGUCUAAAUGGGGCUGGACAUUUUCCACUAAUCCAGAGGAAGGAUGGUUAUUGUAACCACAAAGGAAACUAACAACAUUAAGUGAUACAUGAAAGUAAAUCACAUUGGCUUAGAAUAAUUUGCCUUUUCCAAUUCUUAAAGAAAAGGAGAGAAACUAAUCUUUAUUGAGU
ensembl:lncRNA